rnacentral:rRNA from 1 species
AGUGAACGCUGGCGGUAGGCCUAACACAUGCAAGUCGAACGGCAGCACAGUAAGAGCUUGCUCUUACGGGUGGCGAGUGGCGGACGGGUGAGGAAUACAUCGGAGUCUACUUUUUCGUGGGGGAUAACGUAGGGAAACUUACGCUAAUACCGCAUACGACCUACGGGUAAAAGCAGGGGAUCUUCGGACCUUGCGCGAUUGAAUGAGCCGAUGUCGGAUUAGCUAGUUGGCGGGGUAAAGGCCCACCAAGGCGACGAUCCGUAGCUGGUCUGAGAGGAUGAUCAGCCACACUGGAACUGAGACACGGUCCAGACUCCUACGGGAGGCAGCAGUGGGGAAUAUUGGACAAUGGGCGCAAGCCUGAUCCAGCCAUACCGCGUGGGUGAAGAAGGCCUUCGGGUUGUAAAGCCCUUUUGUUGGGAAAGAAAAGCAGCAGGUUAAUACCCCGCUGUUCUGACGGUACCCAAAGAAUAAGCACCGGCUAACUUCGUG